GUAAGUGUUCAACAAAAAGGGGACAUCUUAGUCAGGUCUUGAAGAGUGAAUAAGAGUUCUCUGGAUAAGGAGGAGGGAAAGGCAUUCUGGGCAGGAGGAACAACGUGUGCAAAGACACAUCAGGAAAGUGCCCGGCAGGCAAAGGCAGGACAGAUGGAUCAGAGGCCCCUGAAAACAUCCAGAAAAGAGAGACCACCAAGUUUUAGAUGAUCAUGCAACAAAGCUUCCAGCCAGUUCCAGGUGAAGACACCACCCCUGACCAUCAAGAAGCUACCCCGCCUCCACUAGACAGAGCAGGGAGAGAGUUCCGUCAUCCUUAAUAGGUAGAGACUAUGCCGCAAGCCAGCAUGAAGCAGUUACAGAAAAAAGACGAUUGGUCCCUCUGCCUCCCAUGAAGAUUUAUGGGGAUCACAUCUCUUACAGAGGAAAUGAGGCAGGAAAAUAGGGUCUGGAGGCAGGGAAUAUAAGGCAGAUUCACGCUUCAGCUAUGACAGGAAAUAUCCUCUCCAUAGGGCAGAUGCAGAGUAAAUGACUAUGUAACUUUACUUCACCCUCUUCAUUUACACAGGGCAUACACCAGCUAACCAGUGGAAUCCUCUAGAGGGUAUUUAAACUCCCAAAAAUUCUGUAACAGGGCCCCGGUCCCACAUUGUGGAGUGUACUUUCAUUGUCAAUAAAAUUUCUUCAUUCUUUC
rnacentral:lncRNA from 10 species